UACAUGGGGUGCAAACGUUGCUCGGAAUUAUUGGGCGUAAAGCGCACGUAGGCGGUUCGCUAAGUCGGAUGUGAAAGCCCUCGGCUCAACUGAGGAAGUGCACCCGAAACUGGCGAGCUUGAGUACGAAAGAGGAUCGCGGAAUUCCCGGUGUGAGAGGUGAAAUUCGUAGAUAUACGGGAGGAACACCGGCGGCGAAGGCGGUUGACCUGGACGCUUUGCU
rnacentral:rRNA from 1 species